UACACUCCUGCGGGAGGCAGCAGUGGGGAAUAUUGGACAAUGGGCGCAAGCCUGAUCCAGCCAUGCCGCGUGAGUGAUGAAGGCCCUAGGGUUGUAAAGCUCUUUCACCGGUGAAGAUAAUGACGGUAACCGGAGAAGAAGCCCCGGCUAACUUCGUGCCAGCAGCCGCGGUAAUACGAAGGGGGCUAGCGUUGUUCGGAUUUACUGGGCGUAAAGCGCACGUAGGCGGACUAUUAAGUCAGGGGUGAAAUCCCGGGGCUCAACCCCGGAACUGCCUUUGAUACUGGUAGUCUUGAGUUCGAGAGAGGUGAGUGGAAUUCCGAGUGUAGAGGUUAAAUUCGUAGAUAUUCGGAGGAACACCAGUGGCGAAGGCGGCUCACUGGCUCGAUACUGACGCUGAGGUGCGAAAGCGUGGGGAGCAAACAGGAUUAGAAACCCGGGUAGUCCC
rnacentral:rRNA from 1 species